AUUGACCGCUGGCGGCAGGCCUACCACAUGCAAGUCGAACGAGUGGCGGACGGGUGAGUAAUGUCUGGGAAACUGCCUGAUGGAUGGGGAUAACUACUGGAAACGUUCGCUAAUACCGCAUACCAUCAGAUGUGCCCAGAUGGGAUUAGCUAGUUGGUGGGGUAACGGCUCACCAAGGCGACGAUCCCUAGCUGGUCUGAGAGGAUGACCAGCCACACUGGAACGGAGAUACGGUCCAGACUCCUACGGGAGGCAGCAGUGGGGAAUAUUGCACAAUGGGCGCAAGCCUGAUGCAGACAUGCCGCGUGGAUGAAGGAGGCAGUCGGGUUGUAAAGUAAUUUCAGCGGGGAGGCGGUACCCGAAGAAGAAGCAACGGCUAACGCCGUGCCAGCAGCCGCGGUAAUAC
rnacentral:rRNA from 1 species